rnacentral:rRNA from 1 species
AGUGAACGCUGGCGGUAGGCCUAACACAUGCAAGUCGAACAGCAGCACAGUAAGAGCUUGCUCUUACGGGUGGCGAGUGGCGGACGGGUGAGGAAUACAUCGGAAUCUACUUUUUCGUGGGGGAUAACGUGGGGAAACUUACGCUAAUACCGCAUACGACCUACGGGUGAAAGCAGGGGAUCUUCGGACCUUGCGCGAUUGAAUGAGCCGAUGUCGGAUUAGCUAGUUGGCGGGGUAAAGGCCCACCAAGGCGACGAUCCGUAGCUGGUCUGAGAGGAUGAUCAGCCACACUGGAACUGAGACACGGUCCAGACUCCUACGGGAGGCAGCAGUGGGGAAUAUUGGACAAAGGGCGCAAGCCUGAUCCAGCCAUACCGCGUGGGUGAAGAAGGCCUUCGGGUUGUAAAGCCCUUUUGUUGGGAAAGAAAAGCAGCAGGUUAAUACCCCGCUGUUCUGACGGUACCCAAAGAAUAAGCACCGGCUAACUUCGUG